GGGAAUGUAGCUCAAGGCUAGAGCGUGUACUAAUGUAUAGUGUGUAGGUUGGAAUCCUACCAUUCCCU
rnacentral:tRNA from 1 species